AAGACUAACUCCUGCGAAAGCAUUUGCCAAGGAUGUUUUCAUUAAUCAGUGAACGAAAGUUAGGGGAUCGAAGACGAUCAGAUACCGUCGUAGUCUUAACCAUAUACUAUGCCGACUAGGGAUCGGGCGAUGUUAUCUUUUUGACUCGCUCGGCACCUUACGAGAAAUCAAAGUCUAUGGGUUCUGGGGGGAGUAUGGUCGCAAGGCUGAAACUUAAAGAAAUUGACGGAAGGGCACCACCAGGAGUGGAGCCUGCGGCUUAAUUUGACUCAACACGGGGAAAC
rnacentral:rRNA from 1 species